UGGGGAAUAUUGCACAAUGGGCGCAAGCCUGAUGCAGCAACGCCGCGUGAACGAUGACGGUCUUCGGAUCGUAAAGUUCUGUUGCAGGGGAAGAUAAUGACGGUACCCUGUGAGGAAGCCCCGGCUAACUACGUGCCAGCAGCCGCGGUAAUACGUAGGGGGCUAGCGUUAUCCGGAUUUACUGGGCGUAAAGGGUGCGUAGGUGGUCUUUCAAGUCGGUGGUUAAAGGCUACGGCUCAACCGUAGUUAGCCUCCGAAACUGGAAGACUUGAGUGCAGGAGAGGAAAGUGGAAUUCCCAGUGUAGCGGUGAAAUGCGUAGAUAUUGGGAGGAACACCAGUAGCGAAGGCGGCUUUCUGGACUGCAACUGACACUGAGGCACGAAAGCGUGGGUAGCAAACAGG
rnacentral:rRNA from 1 species